rnacentral:tRNA from 1 species
GGAACAGCCGCCGGUUGAACGGGUGUCAUUGAUGUUGACAAACAUGAGAUUAGUAUCUCGCUGUUCUG